GUAGGUGGCAAGCGUUGUCCGGAAUUAUUGGGCGUAAAGCGCGCGCAGGCGGUCCUUUAAGUCUGAUGUGAAAGCCCACGGCUCAACCGUGGAGGGUCAUUGGAAACUGGGGGACUUGAGUACAGAAGAGGAAAGCGGAAUUCCACGUGUAGCGGUGAAAUGUGUAGAGAUGUGGAGGAACACCAGUGGCGAAGGCGGCUUUCUGGUCUGUAACUGACGCUGAGGCGCGAAAGCGUGGGGAGCAAACAGGGAUUAGAUACCCUGGUAGUCCACGCCGUAAACGAUGAGUGCUAAGUGUUAGGGGGUUUCCCGCCCCUUAGUGCUGCAGCUAACGCAUUAAGCACUCCGCCUGGGGAGUACGGCCGCAAGGCUG
rnacentral:rRNA from 1 species